GACACGCGUGGUGUGCGCGGUCCCCGUGCAGCCCGCCCUGCCGCAGGCUGCCCUCCACCCCCAGCCCCAGCUCCAGCCCCCAGCCCGUCCCCACUGCUCAUAUCCGAGCAGAUAGACCCCGGCCCCACCCUCCCGUGCUGAGCCUCCUUUCUGCCGGGAAGUUCGUCCGGGAGUCAAACAUCGCUGCCCUCCGGUUGCGCCACGGAGGGGGAGCCAGGAUAGGAAGCUGCCGUGAAAUCAGGAAGCUGAGCGCGCCGGGCCCCGGAUCCGAACAGAAAAGGCUUCCACCCGCUCCCCUGAGGGAUCCCACGCUGAGGGACUGAACCCCGCACCCCAGCCGCGCUCACCACCCCCACCCUCUCGCCUGGGCUGCUCUGACCUGGGGUUCACUUUCUGAAGAUGAUUCUGAAGAAGAGGAGGAAUUGGAAGAGGAAUCCGAGCCUUCUGAAUGAAUUCCAGAACUGCCACUCAAAGUGCCCUAUGAGGAGCUGUGGUAACAAGGUAAAAGGCAGGAGCCAUCCUUUGGAAGCCAUCAGCAAGCUCUGUGACCAUCAGAGCUAUUAUCUGUGAUCAUAUACAUAACCUGAAGAUAGCAUAUCAUACUUUUUUUUAAUACUUUCAACUCCAAAAGGCUUUGGGCUUGUAAAAACAUAGUUUCAAAGAUUUUUAUUUUAUCAGCCACCAUCUCCAUUUUUACCUAUCCUUCCCAUAAAUGCAAGGAUAUGUUUUAGUUCUGAAACAUGAAAGUUAAUUUGAUUUUAUCCUGCAACUCUUGAGAACUGAUCUUUCUAGCCAGCAUAAAGAAAGUAUACUGACACAAAAAUCUUCAGAAAAAAUAUAGGAGGAUUAAAUACUCAAUUACUUCCAGGAUUGCUUACUCCUUUCCAAAGGGACUGCAAACCCCUUUCCAGAAGGAAAUUUCAAACUAAAAAAUUUUCUUUCAAUCAGAAGUUCAGUGAUUUUACUGCCAUCUAAAGUAAAUUAACUUUGAAAAUAAGUAUAAAAAUUAUAAUUGUAAUUUAUUGAUUCAAAAUUUUGUAUUUGGCAUUCCUUCUCAAAAAUUGUAGUCCAAUAUAAAAUUAGGCCAUGUGGAAAACAGUAAAGGCCUUUACUAGAUAUUCCUAGAAAACACUGAAGCAAGUACUAAAUAAAAUAAAAAUAAGAUGUUUUUGAAGGGAGAAUCUCGUAUACUGAAUUUUAAUUAGUUUAUGUUUAACGAUAGCAUUUUUAAUGAGUUUUAACUCUAACAUUUUAUGAACAAGCUAAUGUAUGUAACAAUAUCAAGAAGCUGCUGCUACUUGAUAAAUCAAAUUUUAAUUGUACUGAUAU
rnacentral:lncRNA from 1 species